AGUUCAUUUGGAUGGAUUAAUUGGUCUGGAUUCUGACCCUAAAGAUGGAAAAGUCACCUGAAACUUUGUCAUUGUUUUUGAAUGAAAAGUAUGCUGAUCCAGUCCAUGAGAAAACAGAAGAGAAAAUGACUGAAGAAAAGGUCUCUCCUCCCAGCAUCUCAGCGCAUGGCCACUCCAGCUCUGAAAAGUGAAUGUAAAUAAGGAAUGAAGCCUAAAUCAUCAACUCU